rnacentral:rRNA from 1 species
GACAGAGGCCUCAAGCGUUAGGCGGAAUCACUGGGCUUAAAGCGUGUGUAGGCGGAUCGUUAAGUACCUUGUGAAAUCUCACGGCUCACCCGUGGAACUGCUGGGUAUACUGGCGGUCUUGGGCCAACUAGGGGCAGCUGGAACAAGCGGUGGAGCGGUGAAAUGCGUAGAUAUCGCUUGGAACGCCGAAGGUGAAAACAGGCUGCUGGGGUUGUGCCGACGCUGAGACACGAAAGCCAGGGGAGCAAACGGG